CGAGGAUCAUUCGCAAUGGGCGAAAGCCUGACGAUGCGACGCUGCGUGGAGGAUGAAGGCCCUCGGGUCGUAAACUCCUGUCAUGGGGGGCGAGGCGGAGGCGGUUAACGGCCGCCCGAGUUGACGGUACCCCAAGAGGAAGCCACGGCUAACUCUGUGCCAGCAGCCGCGGUAAUACAGAGGUGGCGAGCGUUGUUCGGAUUUACUGGGCGUAAAGGGCGCGUAGGCGGCCGCGUGUGUGGGGUGUGAAAUCUCCGGGCUCAACCCGGAAAGUGCGCCCCAAACUGCGCGGCUCGAGUGCGGGAGGGGAGAUCGGAAUGCAGGGUGUAGCGGUGAAAUGCGUUGAUAUCCUGCAGAACACCGGUGGCGAAGGCGGAUCUCUGGAACGCAACUGACGCUGAGGCGCGAAAGCAGGGGGAGCAAACA
rnacentral:rRNA from 1 species